rnacentral:rRNA from 1 species
GACGAACGCUGGCGGCGUGCUUAACACAUGCAAGUCGAACGGAAAGGCCCUGCUUUUGUGGGGUGCUCGAGUGGCGAACGGGUGAGUAACACGUGAGUAACCUGCCCUUGACUUUGGGAUAACCUCAGGAAACUGGGGCUAAUACCGGAUAGGAGCUCCUGCUGCAUGGUGGGGGUUGGAAAGUUUCGGCGGUUGGGGAUGGACUCGCGGCUUAUCAGCUUGUUGGUGGGGUAGUGGCUUACCAAGGCUUUGACGGGUAGCCGGCCUGAGAGGGUGACCGGCCACAUUGGGACUGAGAUACGGCCCAGACUCCUACGGGAGGCAGCAGUGGGGAAUAUUGCACAAUGGGCGGAAGCCUGAUGCAGCAACGCCGCGUGCGGGAUGACCGCCUUCGGGUUGUGAACCGCUUUCGCCUGUGACGAAGCGUGAGUGACGGUAAUGGGUAAAGAAGCACCGGCUAACUACGUG